GGCAGUUUAGGACCUGUACAGAUCCUCCUACCCCUGCAACCUCCAGCACGCUUCCCAUAACUAAUCCUGCAUUUUGGUCCCAAACCCUGCCUGGAGCUACAUGAGGCCCAUGACUACAGAAAUGCCUCCACAGCCUCGCAGGGUGUGCUGGGAUUUU